AAAAAAAAAACUUAUCAAAAGUUUAAAAGUUGACUUGAGUUCCAUCCCCAUCAUGCCACAUACAUGUGUUGCAAAACUGAACCUACGACAUUCCGCCUAUACAGCAGCUAACCGAGAGUACCCAGGCAGUAAUGGAGUAGAGCGACCGUUGAAUGACGUCAGUAGUGUAAAGCCGUCUCACCCGCGGCAACUCGGCAUUGGUGACCUAUCUCAAUAACUACACUAUGUCAGUACGUGAGAUGAGGGUCAAGGACCCACUGCCUGUUCUGAUACCAAUUAGACCGUAUCGAUACCGCCAUCCAGAAGAAAGGGAGGAGGUUAUCGCCCCUGCGGGCAGAUGGCGGGAGAGACUGGGCGAAAACCUCACGGACAAGGUCAAGGUCAAGACGAGGUUCCCUUACCCAGGCCGCGAUUGGUUCCGUCACUGGGUUGAAUACAUGUACGUCAUCGGCGAGUUCGGCGCCAAACAACAAAAGUAACGUGACUAAGGGGUCUUCACAUCAACAAUGUUUCCUGAUUAAGGAGUCCUCUCAUCAACAAUGUUUCCUAAUUAAGGAGUCUUCUCAUCAACAAUGUUUUCUAAUUAAGGAGUCUUCUCGUCAACAAUGUUUCCUAACUAAGGAGUCUUCUCAUCAAUGUUUCCUAAUUAAGGAGUCUUCUCAUCAACAAUGUUUCCUAAUUAAGGAGUCUUCACAUCAAUGUUUCCUAAUUAAGGAGUCUUCUCAUCAACAAUGUUUUCUAAUUAAGGAGUCUUCUCAUCAACAAUGUUUUCUAAUUAAGGAGUCUUCUCGUCAACAAUGUUUCCUAACUAAGGAGUCUUCUCAUCAAUGUUUCCUAAUUAAGGAGUCUUCUCAUCAACAAUGUUUCCUAAUUAAGGAGUCUUCACAUCAAUGUUUCCUAAUUAAGGAGUCUUCUCAUCAACAAUGUUUUCUAAUUAAGGAGUCUUCACUUCAAUCUUUCCUAAUUAAGGAGUCUUCUCAUCAACAAUGUUUCCUAAUUAAUGAAUCCUCUCGUCAACAAUGUUUCCUAAUUAAGGAGUCUUCACAUCAAUGUUUCCUAAUUAAGGAAUCUUCACAUCAACAAUGUUUCCUAAAUAAGGAAUCUUCACAUAAAAAAAAUGUUCAUUUUAUUUCCUAGUUAUUGGCGCCGACAGAUUUUAUUCACUUGAGUCUUCACAUUAACCAUGCGAUUUUGUAAAUCGUAAUAUGAAAAACAAAUUUAACAGUAGAAUGUUUUUAAUUCAAUAAAUAACUAAAUCCCA